AGUGAACGCUGGCGGUAGGCCUAACACAUGCAAGUCGAACGGCAGCACAGUAAGAGCUUGCUCUUACGGGUGGCGAGUGGCGGACGGGUGAGGAAUACAUCGGAAUCUACUUUUUCGGGGGGGAUACCGUAGGGAAACUUACGCUAAUACCGCAUACGACCUACGGGUGAAAGCAGGGGAUCUUCGGACCUUGCGCGAUUGAAUGAGCCGAUGUCGGAUUAGCUAGUUGGCGGGGUAAAGGCCCACCAAGGCGACGAUCCGUAGCUGGUCUGAGAGGAUGAUCAGCCACACUGGAACUGAGACACGGUCCAGACUCCUACGGGAGGCAGCAGUGGGGAAUAUUGGACAAUGGGCGCAAGCCUGAUCCAGCCAUACCGCGUGGGUGAAGAAGGCCUUCGGGUUGUAAAGCCCUUUUGUUGGGAAAGAAAAGCAGCAGGUUAAUACCCCGCUGUUCUGACGGUACCCAAAGAAUAAGCACCGGCUAACUUCGUG
rnacentral:rRNA from 1 species